UCUGCCGUGGGCGCUGGAGAACUGAGGGGGGCUGCUCCUAGUACGAGAGGACCGGAGUGGACGCAUCACUGGUGUUCGGGUUGUCAUGCCAAUGGCACUGCCCGGUAGCUAAAUGCGGAAGAGAUAAGUGCUGAAAGCAUCUAAGCACGAAACUUGCCCCGAGAUGAGUUCUCCCUGAGACUUUAGGUCUCCUGAAGGAACGUUGAAGACGACGACGUUGAUAGGCCGGGUGUGUAAGCGCAGCGAUGCGUUGAGCUAACCGGUACUAAUGAACCGUGAGGCUUAACCUU
rnacentral:rRNA from 1 species